rnacentral:rRNA from 1 species
AUGGAGACCUGUAUGAAUGGCAUCACGAGGGCUUAACUGUCUCCUUUUCCAAGUCAAUGAAAUUGAUCUUCCCGUGCAGAAGCGGGAAUAAAUUCAUAAGACGAGAAGACCCUAUGGAGCUUUAGACACCAAAGCAGCUCAUGUUCAGAACCCUGGGACAACAGGCAAAACUUAUUGACGCCUGCCCUACUGUC